UUGUUAGCAUCAUACACAAUGUACUCAAUAAUAAGCUUAGCCUCAUUUUCAGACACUUACCCCAUAACAUCCUCUCCAUAUCCUUUCUAAUUAACCCAAAGAGGCACUGUGGAACCUCUAGCAUAUGAUGAAUGUGUUGUUCUUCUUUCUGUUUAGAAUGAAUUUUCCUGUAAGAGACACCAACUGUCUUUCAGAACACAAUCCCAUUCCUUGGUGACCUGCCCUGAAAUGCCAGCAGAAACCAUCAUUCUCUCUCUUAACUUUCAUCCAUGACUCUUCUAUAGACACUACAUACAGUGCUAGUGAGUAUGUCUUGGAACUCUUUGAGCAUAGAGAGGGACUGCGAGUCUGGCUGCCCCAAGCCCCACUGGACACAAACCACCCUGGAGCUGACACAUCAGAUGGACAUGAAGGCCUUGAAGCACAGCCUGGACCUCAGGGUGGGCUCUGGGCUCAGCCUCGGAUAACCUGAGUGGGAUAGUGAUGCUGUUCUUGUGAGGAUGUUCCCAAGUCCCCACAGGUGUUCUCUCACAGGUGUCCGCCCACAGAUAACACAGUGCCUAGCAGCAGGAUUUAGAGCCUGCCUGGUAACCAACUGGCCAGAAGAAUUAACAUCUUUACUGGGAAACGCACUGGAAGUCUUCCUCUGGGGCUUAAUCAAUAUCACCUGAACUUGGUUCAGAAAGUAGGAGCCAUGAAGUGCUGGGACCUCCACUGAGUUUCCCUGAGGAUCCAGGUGCGCUGUCGAGUUCAUGGUGACUCCACUGCAGCCCAAGCAUCAGCCCAUCCCACAGGGCCCUGGAAAAUUCUGGGAGCUGCUGAUUCCCUCUUCUUCCUCACAUGAAUCUGAAGCACCCAAUCACAGUACAAGGCUGAGCCUGGGAGGACUGUUUACUAGCAAACUGGAAAGUGGAGAUCUUUGCAUGUAGACUCUGAGCCCUCCAUCUGACCUAAGGCAGGAAGAAGGUCUGGGCCACUAUCUGGAUGAUCAGGUAGGUGAAGUCUAGUCUAGGAUCUUCAAAAGGCAGGCACAGGACUGGCUGAGAAAUCAAAAUAAAAAUAGGUCAGAAAGGAAACAAAAAGAAGGAGGAGGUCCACAAUCAUGCACUGUGAGGAGGAGACCCAUUGCAGCAGUCAUCAGACUGGUAAGUGCUACUUGGCUCUAGAUCUUGCUUUCCUGAACCAUGGGGCCAUGGAGGCAACUACCAAACAACCUGAAUAAGGAUGAGGCCAACACCAGAGAGAAAAGGUAAGCCCAGAAAAAUUGGCUGUUUCAGGGAGAAAUAAUGGAUGGUCCAGCAGUGCUAGGCCUAAGGAGGGCCCAUGGCUGGUAUAAACUAAAAAACAGUUUCACCCCAAGAGUGACUUCUUAAUGUUAGAACAGAGUAGGAUAAGAAACACAGAGCCUGUGGCUUUCAGAGGUGUCUGGAUCUGAAAUCCACUGGAUUAAAUCCAGAGGACUGCUUGAGGUACCACCCUACUGCCAACAUCCAGGUGAGACUGGUGGUCUAAUUGAAUCUCUUGUACCAGUGUGAGCUGCAAUGCAGCUCAGCUUGGCAGCAGCUACAAUCUAGGGUUUACAGAUGGAAGGAGUUCUUGAACUGGGGAGGUCACCUCACAAACCCA